CGAUGCAAGUCGCACGAUCACUCGCGUGUAGCAAUACUAGUGAGUGGAAGUGGCGCAAGGGUCGAGUAAUGCGUGGGCAAUCUGCCUUUUAGAUGGGCAUAACCUGGCGAAAGCCGGACUAAUUCCCCAAUGUGGUAGUCGCGCGCAUGCGCGACGAUCUGAAGCCGGGGACCGUAAGGCCUGGCGCUAGAAGAUGAGCCCACGUCCUAUCAGCUUGUUGGUGAGGUAACGGCUCACCAAGGCUUACGGGUAGCUGGUCUGAGAGGAUGGUCAGCCACACUGGGACUGAGACACUGCCCAGACUCCUACGGGAGGCUGCAGUCGAGAAUCUUUCGCAAUGGGCGCAAGCCUGACGAAGCGACGCCGCGUGUAGGAUGAAAGCCUUCGGGUUGUAAACUACUGUCUUUCGGGAGCAAGGAACAUGGGUGAAUAAUCCAUGAACUUGAUAGUACCGGAGGAGGAAGCCACGGCUAACUCUGUG
rnacentral:rRNA from 1 species